UUUGAUCAUGGCUCAGAUUGAACGCUGGCGGCAGGCCUAACACAUGCAAGUCGAACGGUAACAGGAAGCAGCUUGCUGCUUUGCUGACGAGUGGCGGACGGGUGAGUAAUGUCUGGGAAACUGCCUGAUGGAGGGGGAUAACUACUGGAAACGGUGGCUAAUACCGCAUAACGUCGCAAGACCAAAGAGGGGGACCUUCGGGCCUCUUGCCAUCAGAUGUGCCCAGAUGGGAUUAGCUUGUUGGUGAGGUAACGGCUCACCAAGGCGACGAUCCCUAGCUGGUCUGAGAGGAUGACCAGCCACACUGGAACUGAGACACGGUCCAGACUCCUACGGGAGGCAGCAGUGGGGAAUAUUGCACAAUGGGCGCAAGCCUGAUGCAGCCAUGCCGCGUGUAUGAAGAAGGCCUUCGGGUUGUAAAGUACUU
rnacentral:rRNA from 1 species